UAGAGCUUAGAGAUGUCUUGCAGAGAGUAUCAGGACAUACUGAUUUAAACAGCUCAGUGGCCAGCAGCAUAGCAUGCAAAUAAGAAGAGGACAUAUUUGGCAGAUUAUUGUGAAGAUUAAAUAAGAUAAUUGUCCUGCCUAAAAGAUAGCCUUUGUGGGAACUAAGAAAGCUCUUAAUAAAAUGAGACAUUGUCAGGGAAAGAGGGCUAGAUGAUAAACGUCACACAGGAAGACCUUGUCUGCAGGUUUUAAAUGACAGACUUUAUUCA